rnacentral:rRNA from 1 species
UUCCGGUUGAUCCUGCCGGAGGCUACCGCUAUUGGAGUUCGAUUAAGCCAUGCGAGUCCAGAGCUUUCGGAGCUCGGCGUACCGCUCAGUAACACGUGGGUAACCUAACCUAUGCAGGGGAAUAACCUCGGGAAACUGAGAAUAAUGCCCCAUAGUCCACUACGCCUGGAACGGUGAGUGGAUGAAAGCUCCGGCGGCAUAGGAUGGGCCUGCGGCGUAUCAGGUUGUAGGGGGUGUAACGUACCCUCUAGCCCUCUACGCGUACGGGUGUUGGGAGACAUAGCCCGGAGAUGGAUUCUGAGACACGAAUCCAGACCCUACGGGGUGCAGCAGGCGCGAAAACUUGGCAAUGCGAGAAAUCGUGACCAGGGAACUCCAAGUGCAUCGGGUAAGACCGGUGCUUUUCUUGACUCUAAAUAGGUCUUGGAAUAAGGGGUGGGUAAGGACGGUGCCAGCCGCCGCGGUAAUACCGGCGCCUCAAGUGGUAGUCGCUUUUAUUGGGCCUAAAACGUCCGUAGCCGGUCUGAUACAUUCGUGGGUAAAUCAACCAGCUUAACUGGUUGAAUUCUGCGAGGACGGUCAGACUUGGGACCGGGAGAGGUGUGGGGUACGCUCAGGGUAGGGGUAAAAUCCUGUCAUCCUGAGCGGACCACCUGUUGCGAAGGCGCCACACUAGAACGGAUCCGACGGUCAGGGACGAAGCCUAGGGGCACGAACCGGAUUAGAUACCCGGGUAGUCCUAGGUGUAAACGCUGUGGACUUGAUGUUGGGGGUGCUCCGAGCACUCUCAGUGUCGAAGCGAAGGUGAUAAGUCCACUGCCUGGGAAGUACGGUCGCAAGGCUGAAACUUAAAGGAAUUGGCGGGGGAGCACCGCAACCUGAGGAUUGUGCGGUUUAAUUGGAUUCAACGCCGG